AUAUAUAUUUCUUAUCAGCUAAGAUGGUGUGAUCAUUUAUUGAAAACAAUUUUACUAAUAUUCAUUUUCUAUUUUUGGUAUAUGCUCUUAGUUUAACCAUUUCAUUUUUCAAAUCCUUAUCUUUUAAUUUCCUGGUUAAAUUUUAUAAA